UACGUAGGGCGCGAGCGUUGUCCGGAAUUAUUGGGCGUAAAGGGCGCGUAGGCGGCUGUACAAGUCAAAGGUGAAAUCCCUCGGCUCAACUGAGGAACUGCCUUUGAAACUGUACGGCUUGAGGCCGGGAGGGGGUAGCGGAAUUCCCAGUGUAGCGGUGAAAUGCGUAGAUACUGGGAGGAACACCAGUGGCGAAGGCGGCUACCUGGACCGGUUCUGACGCUGAGGCGCGAAAGCGUGGGUAGCAAACAGG
rnacentral:rRNA from 1 species